rnacentral:rRNA from 1 species
GAUGAACGCUGGCGGCGUGCCUAAUACAUGCAAGUCGAGCGAACAGAUAAGGAGCUUGCUCCUUUGACGUUAGCGGCGGACGGGUGAGUAACACGUGGGUAACUUACCUAUAAGACUGGAAUAACUCCGGGAAACCGGGGCUAAUGCCGGAUAACGUGUUGAACCGCAUGGUUCUACAGUGAAAGGCGGCUUUGCUGUCACUUAUAGAUGGACCCGCGCCGUAUUAGCUAGUUGGUGAGGUAACGGCUCACCAAGGCAACGAUACGUAGCCGACCUGAGAGGGUGAUCGGCCACACUGGAACUGAGACACGGUCCAGACUCCUACGGGAGGCAGCAGUAGGGAAUCUUCCGCAAUGGGCGAAAGCCUGACGGAGCAACGCCGCGUGAGUGAUGAAGGUCUUCGGAUCGUAAAACUCUGUUAUUAGGGAAGAACAAAUGCGUAAGUAACUGUGCGCGUCUUGACGGUACCUAAUCAGAAAGCCACGGCUAACUACGUG